CUCAAUAUACCCCCCAGCCUUCGGCCCUCCAGAACUGAUCCUAGAAUGCCACACCUUUGUCUCUGAUCAGUUUGUCCCUAAGACUGUGGCUGAGAGUGAGAGACUGUGAGACAGUUACAGAAACAUAGAAGAAAACAUCCAUGGAUGUACUGACAAUCCCAGAGACAGAAUUAUCUUCAGUCACACAGAUCCACACAUCCAGAAAUCCCUGUAGGGAAAAGAGAUUGUUUUUUUACCUCCAAGGUACAGAAGAAAAAGGGAAGGAUUGUUGUGAGAAAAGCUCUGUAAACCUGUAUGAUCUAUUAAAAUGAUCGAAUGAAAUGUGAAUUAAGGGAAUGCCAUAAAUGUGGAUCUCUGCAAAGGAUUUGACAAAGUCUCUUGUGCUUUUGUGAUGAGUGAGAUGAAGAUAAAGGGAUUAGAUACAUUUGGGAAGAUUCAGAACUAGUUAGAUGCCUGGACCCAGACACUAGAUGAGUGACUCCAUUGGGAGGGACAUUGACAAACUGAAGCAUGAGAGGGAACUCCAAAUAAUAGAAGACUACUUCCUCUUAUCAGGUGCUGUCAUCUGACCUGCUGAUGGAAUCUCAGGACCCCGGGCCUUGCCUUAGGCCUUCUGAGCCCUUCUAUUUGCCCUGUAACUGAAGUUUCUUCCCAGUUAAAGGUAUCAAGUCAAGGAGCAAGUGCCUUGAGCUAAAUGUUGAUGUGAGUUCCUUAACAAUAGGGACUGUCUUGUUUUUUCUUUUUGCCUCCCUGACCCUUGGCAUAGUGCGCAGUGCAUAGCGAGUAUUUUAUAAAUGCUUUUCCAUUCAUUUAUAAAGCGCCUACUGUGUGCAGGAUCCCAUUGCUUAGUGCUGAGAGAUACAGUUAUUUGAUUCAGGCACAGUUCUUACCUUCCAGGAGCUUAAUCUAAUAAGUGGAUCCUGCACAAACUCAUACAACUCUGGUGGAUGGGCCUGAUUACAUGCUGAGUGCCUUGGGGAGGAGUACAUAAAACGCCACCUGACAUGUGAGGGGAGCAAUGCAGGAUGUCAGGAUGGCUUCAUGGGCAACCACUGAACUCCCUUCUGCCUCAGUUUCCUCAUCUGCAGGAGAGUACGGGGACAGGCCCCAUCCAGGACUACGUUUUCCCUCAAAGUUGACGUAAGGAAGUGCUUUCCUGUGCUCCUGGCUCUCCCUUGCUGCCAUUCAGAGAUCUCACCUGGCUGCAGAGUAGGGAAUGUGCCGAGGCUCUCCUGAAAACAGAGGGCCACAAGCAGGACAGUCAGCAGGGCCUUCAUUUCUCCAGUGGGUCGCCCAAAGCCGGGGAGGUGUGUUCCUGAAGGAGAUCAGGGCGGCUCAGCCGAGCCUGAAGGGCCUCGAGGGCCUAAGGCCGCAAGGGAUCUCAAAGGGAUUCAAAGAUGGAAAACACAGACGCGGGGACAGCUUUUGUUCGCCAGAAGUGGGCAAU
rnacentral:lncRNA from 1 species